CCCUUAGAUGUCCUGGGCCGCACGCGCGCUACAAUGAUGCAACCAACGAGUGCUGCUCCUUGGCCGAGAGGCCCGGGGAACCUUGCAAACUGCAUCGUGCUGGGGAUAGAUGAUUGCAAUUCUUCAUCUUGAACGAGGAAUACCUUGUAAGCGCGGGUCAUCAUCCCGCGCUGAAUACGUCCCUGCCCUUUGUACACACCGCCCGUCGCUCCUACCGAUUGAGUGGUCCGGUGAGGCUUUGGGAUCUGAGCGGAAAGAGCGUUUCGCUGUUUCUGCCCGGAAAACUCAGUCGAACCUUAUCAUUUAGAGGAAGGAGAAGUCGUAACA
rnacentral:rRNA from 1 species